GAUGAACGCUAGCGGCAGGCCUAAUACAUGCAAGUCGAACGGGCCUGGGUAGCAAUACCCAGGUUAGUGGCGCACGGGUGCGUAACGCGUAUGCAACCUACCUUUUAUUGGGGGAUUGCCCGUCGAAAGACGGAUUAAUACCGCAUAAGAUAUUAGAGUGGCAUCACUCAGAUAUUAAAACUCCGGUGGACAAAGAUGAG
rnacentral:rRNA from 1 species